AAUAAAUCUGAACGGCUCUUCUUCGAAUGUCGACAUCUUCGGGAAGAAAAAGGAAUGGGCAGAAGCUGGUGUGGGUAAGAUGAAGGAAAACGGAAUUGUCGGAUUUAGUCG
ensembl:ncRNA ZC247.8 ncRNA